GCGCGCUUUCAAGCAGUCCCGAUCUAUGCGACUCACCGUGUCGCGUUGGCAUCGGGCGCUGCUAUAG
rnacentral:pre_miRNA from 1 species